UCUGCUUCAGUAUAAGGGUAUAGGUAGUUUCCAUCUAUUUGGAUUGGGCAGAA
rnacentral:tRNA from 1 species